UACGAGUGGUGCAAGCGUUAUUCGGAAUAAUUGGGCGUACAGGGUGUGUAGGCGGUAUGUUAAGUCUGUUGUUAAAGACUCCGGCCUAACCGGAGAUGGGCGGCGGAAACUGGCGUACUAGAGGGUGGAAGAGAGAAGUGGAAUUCUCGGUGUAGCGGUAAAAUGCGUAGAUAUCGAGAGGAACACCGAUGGCGAAGGCAGCUUCUUGGUCCAUACCUGACGCUGAAACACGAAAGCGUGGGGAGCAAACAGG
rnacentral:rRNA from 2 species